rnacentral:rRNA from 1 species
AUUGGACGCUGGCGGCAGGCUUAACACAUGCAAGUCGAGCGGGGGAAGGUAGCUUGCUACCGGACCUAGCGGCGGACGGGUGAGUAAUGCUUAGGAAUCUGCCUAUUAGUGGGGGACAACAUCUCGAAAGGGAUGCUAAUACCGCAUACGUCCUACGGGAGAAAGCAGGGGAUCUUCGGACCUUGCGCUAAUAGAUGAGCCUAAGUCGGAUUAGCUAGUUGGUGGGGUAAAGGCCUACCAAGGCGACGAUCUGUAGCGGGUCUGAGAGGAUGGUCCGCCACACUGGGACUGAGACCCGGCCCAGACUCCUACGGGAGGCAGCAGUGGGGAACAUUGGACAAUGGGGGGAACCCUGAUCCAGCCAUGCCGCGUGUGUGAAGAAGGCCUUAUGGUUGUAAAGCACUUUAAGCGAGGAGGAGGCUACUCUAGUUAAUACCUAGGGAUAGUGGACGUUACUCGCAGAAUAAGCACCGGCUAACUCUGUGCCAGCCGCCGCAGUAA